rnacentral:lncRNA from 1 species
GUACUAAAUAAUGACUACACAACUGUAAUUUCUCACAGUACCUGCUCAAGCUUCUGUUCCAACUUCCUGAUCUGGCUUCUUACAGAUUCCAUGUCAUUUGGGGAAUUAGCCUCUUCAUGUUGAACUGUCGGAGAAGCAGCAGAUGGGACUAUUGAUGGUUGUCUAACCUCUUCAUCUUCAUAAUUAAUCUUUCCUGGGAGAUUGAGCGCUCCAAUCCCUUCCCCAGAUGCAACCAUGUUUGA